UUUUGGAGUGGGUUUUUAGGGGUGAGGUUUUUGGGGUGGGGUUUUUGGGGGUCACCUCGGGGUCGUGGUUGAGGCGAUAGACGAAGAGCUGGGAGGUGCCGGCCACCACCAGGUUCCGCUCGGCCGCAGAGAAAAAAUGGCAGAAAAGGGAAAAUUCCAGACCGGUGGGGGGGUGGGUCUGCUUGUAAACGGCGUACAUGGCCCCCCAAAAUCACCCCAAAA